rnacentral:rRNA from 1 species
GACGAACGCUGGCGGCGUGCCUAACACAUGCAAGUCGAACGGGACCAGGGGCAACUCUGGUUCAGUGGCGGGCGGGUGCGUAACACGUGAGGAACAUGACUUUCGGCGGGGGAGUAGCCGGCCCAACGGCCGGGUAAUACCGCGUACGACCUGUUGGGGACAUCCCCGACUUGGUGAAAGCAGCAAUGCGCCGAAAGAGUGCCUCGCGGCCUAUCAGCUAGUUGGUGGGGUAAU